GGGGCGUUGGUGUUUAAAUGGCUAUUGCACACCUGAAUCAGUGAACACAAUCAGGUGGAUACUACGAGAAAAUACAGUACAUUAGUUGUUACUUCAAGCAGAGUCAACACUGACCGCUGCUUCAAGUAAAAGAAAACGACCAGUAAAAAAUAAAAUUAUGUAACGAGUAGCUUGCUUGCUUGUUAUUUAAUUUUAUUUCACCUGAUAUUUUAAUUUCGAUAAAAAGCAGUACCCAUAAGAUAACAACUCACAGGCUUCGCAAAGGGCACAGCACCCUUUUUGCUGCCGGGGGGAAAUAGACAAUUUUGACACUAGCGCCCACCGGCUGCCGGGGGGAAAUAGAAUUUACCUAUUAAGUUACACCACCUGUUUCAUUUGGCCAUAGGAUAGAUAGACCAAAAGAGUGAUACUCUUUAAUGUUUGCAGUGUGUUUGUCACAUUCAAUGAAUCCAUAUCUUCUCAUGAUAUGAAUGGCCCAGAAUUGAUGGACUGAAUAAUGUCAGAUGGCCAAAAAAAACAAACACUGGAACCCUUCUGCAUGACUUUGAACCACAAGAUAUUGAUCUUUUUUACAUUCGCCUUUUGGGUUGAACGGUAGAGUUUCACGGUUCACUGUUUUAUCCGAAAAUCGUAUAUCCACGAAAUGUUGGCAUCAUUGGUCUAUGAACAGAUAUGCUGAUGACUGAAAUCAAUUGGAUCAGCUGAAAACAUAUGUUGAGACAUCUAUGCAACUUUGUACUUGGAUAUGUGUCAUUCCACUGGUAGUGGCUAAAGAAUCAAACUUGGAAUCGCGUGUCUUCAACCAACUCACCUCAUCUAGGCCUGACCAGUAUCGGCCCGAAGAAAGUAGUCAACUAGUCACACGUCAGAUAACAAAUCCUGCUAAGUAAACCAUAUGAUAAGGAAGUGAACAUCAAUCAUUCGAACGUGAGUCUAAUGGUCUAAUGAAAAAUAAGGAUUCAUUCGGUUACCGACUUGACCUGCACGAGGAUUUUAGCCAUAUCGGAUAUCGGAAAGGAACACCUUUACCGAAAUGUUCUUCUAACGUAAAUUAUUGGAUGUUCAUUCUAUGUCGGAUUUAGAUUUCAUUUAGAAAUCCUGGCAGAAGCUUUUCAUUUAUAAGACCAUAGAAGUAUUGCACACACUAAUGUUUUAAGGUUAAUAAACAUAAUAAAUGGAAAAAGGGGUUUCAGAAUGAGGCAGGAGUUUUUGUCAAUGCUGAAGUUUGAAAACACGAUAGGAAAUACCCAUGAAAUGAAAAACAUUCUCUCACGUUAUGGUAUUUGUCGUACAUAAAUUGAAGUGCAUAUCUGGGCUCCCUUCUUUUCUGUGGCCCCGUUUC